CUGGCAGGUUUGGGGCCCGGGCAGCACCGGGGUUGCGACGGGUACCGCCGCGACGCCCGCGCGGGGCAGGCCCCGGGGCGCAUGCGCGGGCCGGGGCGCAGGAGGCCGCGGCCGCCCGCGCAGCCUCGCUCGAGCCGGUCUCCGUGGCAACGGGCUCGCGGGGGGGAGGGGCCGGGCGGCGUGGGCUGCGGCGGCUGCUAUUUCUGCCGCUUCCUGUUCCUCGCGGCCACGUCGCCAUGGCAACGGUGUUACUCACCGCGGCCGCUUCCCGGCUCGGCUGGCGCGCGUGACCCCGGCCGCCCGCGCCCCCUCGUCUCUCACUCGCUGCGCUGCCGCUCUCCACCCCCCACCCCACCCCACCCCACCCCGGCGGCGUCCUCCUCCGGCACCCCGGUCCGUCCAGCGCGCCCCGGCGCCCCAUCCUUCCCCUGCUCCCCGCCCCUCUCCGCCGGUGCCCGCGGCUCGGGAGGGAGGGGGGGUGGGGAGGGCGGCAGAUUGAUGGGGGACGCUUAUUAAAAAACAUUGUAACCGUUUCCGUUUUUAUUACGUUGACAAGGGAGCGUUAUUUACUGUUAUUGUUUGCCGAGCUGGCCGCGCCCGAGCGCGGGCGGCCUCCCGGGAGCUCACCUUUCGGGCGGGCCCGGGGAAGUCGCGGGUGGGAGCGGGAGGCGGGGGCUGGCGAGGGGCCGCCCCCCCCCCCCCCCGGGCGGACGCGGCCCCCCGGGGGGCCUGCCCCUCGCCCCUUCCCCCCCCCACCCCUCCAGCCAGCCCCGGCCGACCCCCGCCGCGGCGCGUGUGCGUGCGCGCGCGGGGAGAGACUGCAGAGGCCGGGGACUCGUGCUGAAGGAGAGAGGCAACAAAAAAUAAAAAAAGGAACAGAUGACUUCAUUCCCGGGAAGGCUCCGUCCUACGUGGACCAAUUUCCUGGGGACUGUGGUGGAACAGCUCCGCUGCCGUUGGAAGCACUUAAAACUAAACCAGAAAAAAGACCAGAAAAUUCUUCAGCAUUGCCUGAACCCAGCGAGGGCAGACCCUUGCAGGGACAAAACCCGGCAGAGGCUGGUGAAGGAAAGCCAGUGGCUGGACUGGAAGCCUUGGAAUAGGGCGAGGCUCAGCUGGAGGCCCAGUAAGGGAAGAUUAACUCGGCGGCUCUAAGCUCUGGCUGGCCCGGCUCCUGCUCACCCCACUGGAGCCUUCAGCUGGGGGUGGGGGGGGGGGGGGUUGUGGAAGGUGCGGGCCGUCUGUCCGUUGGGAUCUGAUGGGCCUGGAAGAUGCCCCCCCCCCCCCCGCAAGCCCCUGCUGGGAUGCUAAUCUCAUCCUGCUAAUUAAAGUUUGCAGUUCUGUCCCUAACUCAGCUCCCCACUCUUGAACAGUAUUAGCUGAGUUGCAAACAAUUGCUGGUCCAGACAGAAGCCAGAGGAAAAAGGCCUCUGGAGUUCACGUUAUAAAGAUAAAAAACGGAUUUGAAAAAUGUUUAUACUUAUAAACAAACGACUCCUAAUGAACAGAGCGAGUUUUGGAAACUGAAUUUUAAGAACCCCCUCCCCCCGCCGCCCCAGCCUGUUUUGUGGUGGUUUCCCCCACCACCUCCCCUCCCCCACACGACACGAGGACACGAGUCCCUCCAAGGACACGAGGCUUGGGAUUUGGUGGAUUUGGUCACUGCAGCCCCUCUUGGUCUCUUGGCCUCAGAUGAUCAACCAGCACUCCUCCAGGCCCAGGAUCGCCUCUCCAGGCCGUCUGGAGUCUAAAGCGACAAGCCAGUUCCCCACUAAGACCUGUGGGUCUGGGGCGCCACAGCAAGAUAAAGUUAUCUUCAGCUCUGUCCCAGGGUCCACCAGUUUGGAGCUGCAGGAGUCCUCCCUUGAGCGCGUGAAUCAGAAGUCGGGCUCCCAGAAAAGAGAAUACCCCACCCCCAGUCCUUCCCCAGUCCUUUGCUGCCAGCGCUGUGAUAGGGGAAGGCAGGACCGCCCUCCACUCCUCCCCAUGGGCUGGCCUUCCAAGCAAAACUCAUCUCUGGGAGCAGGUUUAGAGUUUAGCUGAUGUGAAAGUCCUGCCCCUGGGCAGUGUUUGAAUGGGACUGAAACGACAGAUGACAGCCAGCACCGUCCAGAACUAGGAGGACGUUGGAGAUGAUGCAGACCAACCACUCCUGCUUCCCUAUCUUACAGGUGGGCAAACUGAGGCCCA